UGCAACAAAUAUAAAAACGUAUGCUAGUUUGUGUUUUUUAGCUCAUAGCUUUAGCGGCAGACGGUUGUACGUCCCGCUGUUGGAAUCCUCUACAAUGAAAUACAGUCACACUUUUACACAGCUUC